UACGAGUGGUGCAAGCGUUAUCCGGAAUCAUUGGGCGUAAAGGGCGCGUAGGCGGCCUUCUAAGUCAGACGUGAAAUCCCCCGGCUUAACCUGGGAACUGCGUCUGAUACUGGGAGGCUUGAGUGCGGGAGAGGGAUGUGGAAUUCCAGGUGUAGCGGUGAAAUGCGUAGAUAUCUGGAGGAACACCGGUGGCGAAGGCGGCAUCCUGGACCGACACUGACGCUGAGGCGCGAAAGCUAGGGUAGCAAACGGG
rnacentral:rRNA from 1 species